CAACCUCUGCGGUGUUCGAGACUGCCUAAUCUAUUUCCCGCCUUAAUGAUUCUUUUUAGGGAGCUCGACUGCUUAAUGUGGCUGUCAUGCCGUCUAGAACGGAAGACAAAAGCAUUGAGGGGAGCACCCACCUCGUAUAUGGAGGUCGAGAAAUCAACUCGGCAAGACGGCACAAGUGGGGGUUGC
rnacentral:other from 1 species